rnacentral:tRNA from 1 species
GGAGGGCUAGUCCUAAUUGGUAAGGCAGCGGAUUUGAAAUUCGCCGGGCGCAAGCCCUUGGGGGUUCGAGUCCCUCGCCCUCCGCCA